CCUACGGGGGGCUGCAGUGGGGAAUCUUCCGCAAUGGACGAAAGUCUGACGGAGCGACGCCGCGUGAGUGAUGAAGGCCCUUGGGUCGUAAAGCUCUGUCAUCGGGGACGAACGGCUUUAUCAGGAAAUGGGUAGAGAUUGACGGUACCCGAGAAGGAAGCCACGGCUAACUACGUGCCAGCAGCCGCGGUACUACGUAGGUGGCGAGCGUUGGCCGGAAUUAUUGGGCGUAAAGCGCGUAAGUGUGUGCUGAAAGUUCGGAGCUUAACUCCGUGAUGGGAUGGAAACUGAGAGUCUUGAGUAUCGGAGAGGAAAGCGGAAUUCCCCAUGUAGCGGUGAAAUGCGUAGAUAUGGGGAGGAACACCAGUGGCGAAGGCGGCUUUCUGGACGAUGUCUGACACUGAGGCGCGAAAGCCAGGGGAGCGAACGGGAUUAGAUACCCUAGUAGUC
rnacentral:rRNA from 1 species